UCCAUCCUAUCUUCCGGUGAAUCCCCCUCCUCGAUUCUCGGGAUUCAGACUAAUGAUGCGGCCUUUCAGUUGUAAGGGAAUUUUCCUUGAAGGGUCUAUAUCAUGAGGUCAGAGUUUCUUUUAGUGGUAGUUUGCGAAAGGAGCCUGAACACAAAUCACUUUUGCAGUGCUUCAAAACUACCAUGAACGGUAUAAUCAAGCUGCUUGGGUUGCUUUGUGUCAUUGGACAUAUCUCCCACACACGAGGGUUCCCAUUAUUCUCUACACUGUGGGACAAUUAUCCGCUCGUGUCCAAGUAUUCUGGGCGCACGGCCAUGAUUGACGCAGCGGGGCUUGGGACCCACCUUUACGGCGCCAACACGUGCGCAAUUCGUCUCAGCUACGCGCUCAUUCACUCUGGUCAUGAAAUCAGUAUUGAAAAAGGGCAAUUCAACUGGUCUGAGGAGAGGGCGACACGUGCUACCGGUCGCUACAAGGAUGCCAAGUAUAUCAUACGAGUGGCAACCAUGCGAAAAUACCUGGAGAAAGUCCUAGGGCCGGCAAAGAUGUUAUCAAAAAACAAGUCUACUUACAAGGGUUCCAAGGGUAUAAUUGUGUUCCAGGACUGCCCAAAGUUUACCACUGCCACGGGUCACGUGGAUCUUUAUGACGGCAGUCGCUGCGUCAAUAAGUGCUUCUUUGAUCAGUGCAACAACAUUCAUUUGUUUCCUGAUGUACACAGGGAGCUAUAAUUCAAACAGUCAAAUAGAUAUUGUUUUUUUCGCUGUUAUUCAUCAUGUUCCAAUUUGUGUAGUCCAUUUGUAAUUUUCGAAAUUGGAAAAUUAACUGACAAAUAAAAAUGCUUACUACUGCGAGCAUCAUUUUUCAACAAUUAUUCCUUAAUGGUUAUUAGUUCCUUUUUUUGCCCCCAUGACAAAAAAUAGCAGCUACUCAUAGACAUAGAGUUUUAUAGUUUAUGCGCAAUGUGAAAAAUAUAGGGGCAUACUUCUAAGAAUUUUGAAUUGUAUUUCCUGCUAGAAGAGGCUUCUUUUCUCAGUAUGUUGCUGGUAAAGGCAGAUCAAUUAGAGGGUUUGAAAAAAAAACUCAUGCAAAGAGGGUACACACUUCCUAUAGUGGAAUAUCUAGGGAAAAUUGUAGUGAAAAAAAUAUAAUCCAUAUUCUUCUCAGGGUAAGAAAAUUCAGAACUGGCCGAAUCUCCCCUACGUCAAUCGCUCACAAAAUUCAUAUCCAAGAAUGGAUAAUGCCGUUACAAACCCUUAAAAAGGAAGCGAUUUCGACUGCCACAUUGAGGAGGUAAUUACUUUCAUUUUAUAUAAGGGGUCUUUACCUGAUCAACAUGCACGUUCUAAUUACCGGAAAAUAAAUAUUUCAUAAUGCGAUACAAUAAAGCUUUCCAAUUGAGGGUAUCUUUUAGCCUGACAUCACAUCUCACCAAUCAACGCUCAAAUUUUCCUUUCAAAAGGGGAAUCCCCUCGUUCGAUAUGCCCUUCAACGGCGUAUUGAAGACUGGAAACGGCAGUCAAACUCCAGAGGGGGAAGAAAGCAGAGAAGAAAAUCGCGGGUGGAAUAGAGAAAAGAACAUGGCAGGCUUCCCUUCAUUCUCUACACUGUGGGACAAUUAUCCGCUCGUGUCCAAGUAUUCUGGGCGCACGGCCAUGAUUAACGCAGCGGGGCUUGGGACCCACCUUUACGGCGCCAACACGUGCGCAAUUCGUCUCAGCUACGCGCUCAUUCACUCUGGUCAUGAAAUCAGUAUUGAAAAAGGGCAAUUCAACUGGUCUGAGGAGAGGGCGACACGUGCUACCGGUCGCUACAAGGAUGCCAAGUAUAUCAUACGAGUGGCGACCAUGCGACAAUACCUGGAGAGAGUCCUAGGGCCGGCACAGAUUGUAUCGAAAAAAGAGUCGGAUUUCAAGGGUUCCAAGGGUAUAAUUGUGUUCCAGGACUGCCCAAAGUUCACCUCUGCCACGGGUCACGUGGAUCUUUAUGACGGCAGUCGCUGCGUCAAUAAGGGCUUCUUUGAUCAGUGCAACACCAUUCGUCUGUUUAUCUUACCUUGAAUUGACUGCUAAAACGCUUGCCGCCAUAAUGCCGUAGAUUUUCCAAUCCACCUUUUUUUUUUGCUUGGUUAUGAUUUUAGAGGCAUUGUUCCUUGGUUCGUCGUGGUACUGCUCUCAUUUCUUUCUCUCUUUUUUUAUAUCUUUCUUUAUUUUGGUACUAUAACAUUGAAUAAAUAAAGAAAGCACUGAUUACUAUUAAAAGGAAACAAUCAACGUAGCCAAAGUGUAUUCCAAUGAAGCCGCAUUUCCAAUAAGUCGCGAAUGAUAUCUCAAGUCGUAUCCCCGAAUAAACCGCUCCAGCCUACGGGCAACGCGAAA